rnacentral:lncRNA from 1 species
CCUUAUUUCUGCUCUUAAACCUUUGACUACCAACCUUGCCCUUGUACCCAUUGUGCUCCCAUCAGAUUUUUGCUUAAUCCUAUUAACCCACUGUUGUUGCAACUCUUUCCCUUGGGUAAUUGAACCAAUUCCCAUUCAUUAAUGAAAGAAUCCGCUCUCAAUCCAGUGCAUGCCUCCAUUCCUGUUUGGACUCAACCUGCAACGCUUCUCAAAUAUUUUGGUUCACCACUAUCAGUACAAUAAUACUAAAGGAUGGAGAAUAACAUGCUCGGGUUUUUAUUGUACGGUUAGUCCUUUUGGGAAGAGGAGUCUGUGGAUCUAUCUGUUUGAGUAGAUUUGUGCAUUAGUAUCCUGAGGCUCUAAGACAUUUCUUAUUAGGGAUCCUCUUAACUCUAAAAGUCUGAUUUUACCUCGGCCUCCUUGGUUGACUUAGUCUGGUUCCAUACAAACUAACUCAUUAAAUACCACAUCAAUACUUCUGCGUGUUUUUUCGAUUCUCAGAAGCAUACACCUAUACCCAUAGCUAUUAGUAUCAUACCAUGAACCUGUCCUUACAAGACUUAGCAUCAAGUUUACCCCUCUCCUCCAAUUCUAUAUUCAUAUAGGCAAUGCAACCAAAAACGUUGUAUUGGCUAAAUUUACCUCCUUGCCACGAACCAAACAUCUUCUGACAAUCCACACUUCCAAGGAACUGAAGGUCCCCUAUUGAUCAAAUACACAGCGUUAUUUACCUCCUUCAGCCCAUAAUUGCUUAGUGUACCCAGCAUGUAACCUUCAUGCUUCUUUUCAAGCUCUAGGUCGUCCUAUUCCCCUUAACAACCGUCAUUCUGCCUUGGCUUCUUUGGGACUCGGUUUUUCAAACCUUCGAAUCCCAUUCACACACAGUAAGGCCUCAAAUUCACUACUACCUACUCGUCACACAUUUAUUGAUGUUUAGCACGUUCAAUUCAUCCCUGUUCUAUUCUUAACUAACGCUUUCCAAUUCUUGAAAACAUCAAACACAUCAGAUUUAUGCUUAAAAAAAUAAACCCAUAAUAUUCUAGUAGCGUCAUCAAUGAAAGUAACAAAAUAACAUGAACCACCAAUACAAGAUACCUUUGAUGGACCCCCACAUGUCGGUAUGAACAAGUUCUAACUUCUCCAUUUUUAGAGUCCUUGCCACCCUUAUAAAGCUGACCUUUUUUUGUUUCCCGAGAACACAACCCUCACAGAAGUGCAAAUCCAGCAACUUAUAACCCGGUAAUUUCCCCUUUGACAUCAUUACUUUUAUCCCCUUUUCGGUCAUAUGACCCAGCAUGCGAUGACACGUAAUGCAGUCAAUCCUUAAUACUGCCAUCGUGAUGCUACUGUAAGUACCCGAAGAUACAUAUAGAGUUCCUUCCUUUUUACCACGAGCAAGAAUCAAAGCCCCUUUACUCAUAUUACAAGCAUCUGAUGGAAAUCACUCUACCCUCUGACAACUGACCCACUGAAAUAGGCAUGUGUCUAACAUCCUUUAAUUUCAAAAUCAUCCCGUCUGUCUGAGUAAUUUGCACAUCCCCUUUUCCAACUAUAUUGCAGGUUUCAUCAUCGCCCAAAUACACUUUACCAAAGUUUCCCUUCACAUAGUUUUGUAGCACAUCCAUGCAUGGGGUAGCAUGGAAUGAAGGUCCAGAAUCUACAAUCCAAGAUUCACUGCCAGAAUUCAGCGAACAAAUCAAAACAUCAUUAUUAGACUCGUCAACAAUAUUAAUAGUAUUUUUACCUCUUUGAUUAUUCUCAUUCUGCUCCUUUCUCGGUAUCUUGCAGUCUCACUUCCAUUGCCUCUUCUGACCACAGUUCCAGCAGUCCUCAUCUCUGCCACGAGAUUUACUUCGGCCUCUGUUUCUCGAAUGCGACUUUCCCUUGCCCUUUUUGUUGCCUCCUUUAUUCAUAAGACAACCUUUUUUCUCCGUAUUGAGUGUUAAACCUAAAACAACAUCCUUACCCGAUGAUCUUCUCCGAGCCUCUUCUCCUAAUAUCAACGCCAUAAUAUCCUCCAAUUUUAUCUUUGCAGACCCGAAAGAAUUGCUUAUUGCCAUGACAAGUCCAUUCCAACUUUUCGGCAGACUUAAUAAAAGGACAAAGGCUCUACUUUCAUCAUCAAAAUCAAUACUCAUAGAUUCUAACUGAUUCGUGACCGUAUUAAAUUCGUUGAUAUAUUCAGGAACAAUAGUAUUUUUAAACAUCUUUAGGUUAAACAACUUUUUCCAUAAGAUAUACCUUCUUCACCAUUGAAUGUUUGUCGUAUAUCUUUUCUAGGGCUUUGAACAAAUCUGAUGUAGUCUUUUCUUUGGCGAUGUUCGACGCAACUAACGACGCGAGGCACAGUGGCACAGUCCCUAGGGCUUUGUAAUCUAGAACAUCCUACUUUGUUUGCUUUAUAUCUGUUGGCUUCGUGCCAUCGAUAAGUUGAUACAGAUCCUUCUGAAAUAAAAUAUCUUAUAUCUGCAUCUUCCAGAACGUGUAGUUCGUACCAUUG